GACAGAGGGUGCAAACGUUGCUCGGAAUUACUGGGCGUAAAGGGCGUGUAGGCGGGAAGGCAAGUCGGGCGUGGAAGCCCCAGGCUCAACCUGGGAACUGCACUCGAAACUGCCUUUCUUGAGUGCCGGAGAGGAAAGCGGAAUUCCUGGUGUAGAGGUGAAAUUCGUAGAUAUCAGGAGGAACACCAGUGGCGAAGGCGGCUUUCUGGACGGUAACUGACGCUGAGACGCGAAAGCGUGGGGAGCAAACAGG
rnacentral:rRNA from 1 species